rnacentral:rRNA from 1 species
CAAUAGCGUAUAUUAAAGUUGUUGCGGUUAAAAAGCUCGUAGUUGGAUUUCUGCUGAGAACGACCGGUCCGCCCUCUGGGUGUGUAUCUGGCUCUUUCUUGGCAUCUUCUUGGUGAACGUUGCUGCACUUGACUGUGUGGAGCGCUACCCAGGACUUUUACUUUGAGGAAAUUAGAGUGUUUCAAGCAGGCAUACGCCUUGAAUACAUUAGCAUGGAAUAAUAAGAUAGGACCUCGGUUCUAUUUUGUUGGUUUCUAGAGCUGAGGUAAUGAUUAAUAGGGAUAGUUGGGGGCAUUCGUAUUUAACUGUCAGAGGUGAAAUUCUUGGAUUUGUUAAAGACGGGCUACUGCGAAAGCAUUUGCCAAGGAUGUUUNCAUUGA